UACGUAGGGUGCAAGCGUUGUCCGGAAUCAUUGGGCUUAAAGCGCGCGUAGGUGGUCAUGUAAGUCCGCUGUGAAAGUCAAAGGCUCAACCUUUGAAAGCCGGUGGAUACUGCAUGACUAGAGUACGGAAGAGGCGAGCGGAAUUCCUGGUGUAGCGGUAGAAUGCGCAGAUAUCAGGAGGAACACCAAUAGCGAAGGCAGCUCGCUGGGACGUUACUGACACUGAGGCGCGAAAGCGUGGGGAGCGAACAGG
rnacentral:rRNA from 1 species